rnacentral:rRNA from 1 species
GUGGGGAAUAUUGGACAAUGGGCGAAAGCCUGAUCCAGCAAUGCCGCGUGAGUGAUGAAGGCCUUAGGGUUGUAAAGCUCUUUUACCCGGGAAGAUAAUGACUGUACCGGGAGAAUAAGCCCCGGCUAACUCCGUGCCAGCAGCCGCGGUAAUACGGAGGGGGCUAGCGUUGUUCGGAAUUACUGGGCGUAAAGCGCACGUAGGCGGUUUUGUAAGUUAGAGGUGAAAGCCUGGGGCUCAACCCCAGAAUUGCCUUUAAGACUGCAUCACUUGAACGUCGGAGAGGUGAGUAGAAUUCCGAGUGUAGAGGUGAAAUUCGUAGAUAUUCGGAAGAACACCAGUGGCGAAGGCGGCUCACUGGACGACUGUUGACGCUGAGGUGCGAAAGCGUGGGGAGCAAACAGGAUUAGAUACCCGAGUAGUCC